UACGUAGGGUGCAAGCGUUGUCCGGAAUUAUUGGGCGUAAAGAGCUCGUAGGCGGUCUGUCGCGUCUGCUGUGAAAACUCAGGGCUUAACCCUGAGCUUGCAGUGGGUACGGGCAGACUAGAGUGCGGUAGGGGAGACUGGAAUUCCUGGUGUAGCGGUGAAAUGCGCAGAUAUCAGGAGGAACACCGGUGGCGAAGGCGGUUCUCUGGGCAUGUCCUGACGGCUGAGGAGCGAAAGUGUAGGGGAGCGAACAGG
rnacentral:rRNA from 1 species